rnacentral:rRNA from 1 species
GGCUGAAAUUCGCCUUCAUGAAGCUGGAAUUGCUAGUAAUGGCAGGUCAGCAUACUGCCGUGAAUACGUUCCCGGGCCUUGUACACACCGCCCGCCACACCAUGAGAGUUGGGAAUACCCGAAGCCUGUGAGCUAACUUAUAGAGGCAGCAGUCGAAGGUAGAAUCAAUGAUUGGGGUGAAGUCGUAACAAGGUAUC